CAAAGUGUAGCUUAACUAAAGCACAUCGCUUACACCGAUGAGACAUUUGUUUAAUCCAAAUCACCUUGAU
rnacentral:tRNA from 1 species